rnacentral:rRNA from 1 species
AUUGAACGCUGGCGGCAGGCCUAACACAUGCAAGUCGAGCGGAUGAAGGGAGCUUGCUCCUGGAUUCAGCGGCGGACGGGUGAGUAAUGCCUAGGAAUCUGCCUGGUAGUGGGGGAUAACGUCCGGAAACGGGCGCUAAUACCGCAUACGUCCUGAGGGAGAAAGUGGGGGAUCUUCGGACCUCACGCUAUCAAAUGAGCCUAGGUCGGAUUAGCUAGUUGGUGGGGUAAAGGCCUACCAAGGCGACGAUCCGUAACUGGUCUGAGAGGAUGAUCAGUCACACUGGAACUGAGACACGGUCCAGACUCCUACGGGAGGCAGCAGUGGGGAAUAUUGGACAAUGGGCGAAAGCCUGAUCCAGCCAUGCUGCGUGUGUGAAGAAGGUCUUCGGAUUGUAAAGCACUUUAAGUUGGGAGGAAGGGCAGUAAGUUAAUACCUUGCUGUUUUGACGUUACCAACAGAAUAAGCACCGGCUAACUUCGUG